UUUUAAGAAAUUUGGAGGGAGAUUCAUGCUUUACCAAGCUAAGAGGUUAGUCAGUUCAUUCACUGUAAAGUCUAAAUGACUUUUACCGAUCAGAUCAUCUCUGCUUUGAUCAGAUCAAGCAUAGAUAAAUGGUUUAUUACGUUGUUAGAAAAUAACAUGCUCGCAUGCAUGGCGGUACUGUUGUCCCGCCAUCGAUGUUAAAAAGAUAAGAAGUUUUUAACCUAUCAAAUGAGAAAAGCAAAAUAAGAAAUACAGAGAUUGUAGUCAGCAGUUACAAAAACAACUGUAGUACUAUCAAUAUCAACUCACUGGAAUACUAAGAUUUCCUAAAUUUAGAGAACUUCUGUUAAUCAUCUGGAAGUGGAAGUUAGGCAGACUUUCAUCCAAAAAGACCAAUAAUAAAUGGCUGGCCUCGGGACACGUUACCCAAGAAUCCACGUAGAAAAGUCCACUUGCCUUCAUCCAAUAUCCACAAAGUGCAUGUCCCGAAACAAGGCUUCAAGCUUUUGCCACGUGGAGGUUCAUAUCCAAUGGCCCAUACUUUCGGAGAGCUUACGUAGCUGCAUCCAACUGGGAACAAGACCCUUUGUGGUGCACAUUCAACCUCGCUUCACCUAUAAAAAAACUUCCUCAGUCUCCACCAUUGCACCACCGUCUCUUUCAUAUCUGCAUUCUGAGACUGUGAGAGGAGAGAGGAUCACGUUAACAAGUUCAAUUUAGUUUUAGAGCAUAAGUGACAGUGAUCAUGGAGGCUUGCUUUCUCACCUCAAAUUCCUUCACCAAGUCCAUCAAGAUCGUCCCUUCAGCUAAGCCCAAGUCGUUCACCCCUCAUCCCAAAUCAGAUUCUGCUCUUACUCAGCCAAAAACCUCUGGCAGCUCAUUGUCCAUAAAGUGUUGCAACUUCGAGUCCAGCUCACCUUUCGAAGAUGUUGCCGGGAGCUUCACUAAUUCCGAUUGGCGGUCGUUCAGGGCAAGACUUGUGGCGGGAGGAAUGGCAUUGAGGCCCGAAGUGCCUUCCUCGUUGGUCGACCUUGACACCCCAGUGGAUCGGCCGUCCCCCGUCAUGAUGGGGGAUAAGUGGGCCCACAUCAUCCACGAGCCCGAGAAGGGCUGCCUGCUCAUCGCGACGGAGAAGCUCGACGGGGUCCACAUCUUCGAGCGGGCUGUCAUCCUACUCCUGUCGACCGGGCCCGUGGGCCCGACAGGUGUCAUCCUCAACCGGCCCUCCCUCAUGUCCAUCAAGGAGUCCAAGUCCACGGUGCUUGACAUGGCGGGCACGUUCUCCGAGCGCCCUCUCUACUUCGGCGGGCCCAUCGAGGCAGGCCUGUUCCUGAUGAGAGGCGGCGACGACAACGUCGGCAAGAGCGGGGUUUUCGAGGAGGUGAUGGAGGGGCUGUACUACGGGAGGAAGGAGAGUGGUGGUUGCGCGGCGGAGAUGGUGAAGAGGGGGGUGGUCGGGGUUGGGGACUUCAGGUUCUUUGAAGGUUGUUGCGGGUGGGACAAAGGCCAGCUGAGCAAUGAGAUUCGGGCCGGGUACUGGACCGUCGCAGCUUGUAGCCCGAGUGUCGUCGGGCUCGGCAGUGUUGGGAGCGUCAGGCUCUGGGAGGAGGUUCUUGGGCUCAUGGGCCCUAAAAAGGUUUGGUGAGAUCUUUAGAUCACUUUGGGUUUGCCAUUGAAGAUGGAGGGUGGUCCCCUCAGAUACUACUCAAAAGAAGGACAAUAUCGAACAUGUAUCAAAAGUUCGGGGACAAUAUUGUACUUUAAGUCAAAGUUCAAAAACUAUUUGUGUCAUUCUCAAUCUGAUAUAAUAUAGUUGUAAGGUUGAAGGAUUAUGGGUAAAUUGAAGUAAACUGAACCACGUUUGUUAUUGUUAGUUCCAUUUGAUAUUAACAAGU